rnacentral:rRNA from 1 species
UACGUAGGGGGCUAGCGUUGUCCGGAUUUAUUGGGCGUAAAGAGCGUGUAGGCGGCCAGAUAGGUCUGCUGUGAAAACUCGAGGCUCAACCUCGAGAUGUCGGCGGAAACCAUUUGGCUAGAGUCCGGAAGAGGAAAGUGGAAUUCCUGGUGUAGCGGUGAAAUGCGCAGAUAUCAGGAAGAACACCCGUGGCGAAGGCGGCUUUCUGGGGACGGUACUGACGCUGAGACGCGAAAGCGUGGGGAGCGAACAGG